GAAGCACAGAGAGACAGGUAGACAGAGGUAGGUAGGUAGAUAGAUAGAUAGAUAGAUAGGUAGGUACGUAGAUAGGUGAGAAGAUAGGUAGAGAGAUAUGUAGAUAGAGAGAUAGAAAGAUAGAUAGAUAGAUAGAUAGGUAGGUACGUAGAUAGGUAAGAAGAUAGGUAGAGAGAUAUGUAGAUAGAGAGAUAGAAAGAUAGGUAGAUUGAUAGAUAGAUAGAUAGAUAGGUAGAGAGAUAUGUAGAUAGAGAGAUAGAAAGAUAGAUAGAUAGAUAGGUACGUAGAUAGGUAAGAAGAUAGGUAUAGAGAUAUGUAGAUAGAUAGAUAGACAGAUAGAUAGAUUUAUUGACCACACACACACACACACACACACACACACACACACACACACACACAC